AUGCUCCUGGCUUGGACCGGCCCCCUCUGCUCUAUCUUCCAGGCCCUCUUCAACCACACCAGAAGAAAGAACAGAACGGUGGCAUCAGGCCUAGUGAAUGACCAAUGGAUUCGAGACUUACAUCACGACAACACCUUCAAGAUCGCCAGCAACUUUUUGCAGCUUUGGCAAAAAAUUCAGAGUUCGGAUCUUGUGAUUUCAGCUCAAACUCUGGAUCAAAUCAGAUGGACGGUCGGAGGCGGCAACUCCUAUACUGCCCGCUCUGCAUACCGCUACCAAUUCAACCAAGUCUCGCCUGCAGCUGGGUGCAAAUCAAUCAUCAGGAAAGCUUGGGCUCCUGGCAAUGUAAAUUUUUUGCUUGGUUGCUACACCGCAACAGACUAUGGGUCAACGAUCGGCUUCAGUGCAGAGGGUGGCUGA
rnacentral:rRNA from 1 species